GGCUGGGAGACUGGGGAGGCGAGAGACCCGCGCUCCGGCCUGUCCGUGUGUCUGGCAUUGACAGAGAGACAAGCGGACACAGCUCGCCGCCAGCGGACAGGCCUGACAGGCGGACACCGCAGGCACAGCCGGACCCAUUGCAGACAAGCAGACAGACCCGGACCCAUUGCAGACAGCACAGCCGGACCCAUUGCAGACAGACCCGGACCCAUUGCAGACAGCACAGCCGGACCCAUUGCAGACUGCACAGCCGGACCCAUUGCAGACAAGCAGACAGACCCGGACCCAUUGCAGACAGCACAGGCGGACAUUGCAGACAAGCAGACAGACCCGGACCCAUUGCAGACAGCACAGCCGGACCCAUUGCAGAAAGACGGGCGGACAUUGCAGACAAGCAGACAGACCCGGACCCAUUGCAGACAGCACAGCCGGACCCAUUGCAGACAGCACAACAGACCCGGACCCAUUGCAGACAGCACAGGCGGACAUUGCAGACAAGCAGACAGACCCGGACCCAUUGCAGAAAGACGGGCGGACAGCACAGCCCCUCGCUGCAGACACUGACCGCAGCCAGGCUUUGACAGCCGGACACACACCUUGCAGACAGACAGACAGACAGACCCAGACUACAGCCACUGCAGGCGGCCUCAGGCACACCCUGCGGAAAGACAACAAGCAGACAGAUGCUGCAGACACCCUGGCAGACAUAACAAACAAGCAGACAGACCCACACUGCAGGCAGCGAUGGUAGAUGGGCAGGCCAGGCCAGGCAGUUCAGUGCGUCUGGCUUUCCUGGCUGUGUCUCUACCUGCUUGUAUUACGCGCUGGCAUGUAGGCACUUCCAGACCAGGAUGAGAACAAAAUUGAAUCCUGGGCCUCCCGCACGGAUGGACAGACGAGGGGCUCACAGACACAUGCUGAGAUCCAAGCCCAAGUGGUUUCUGGCAGGCCAAGCCCAGCUCGGUCCCUGGGUUGCAGUGUGGUGGCGUGUCUGCUAGGAGGCCCAGCAAUAUAGUGAGGAAUUGCCUGGCACUGGGCAGUGAAAAAACGAAUAAAACAAAUAAACUACACAAGCAGGGCUUUGUCCCUUAGGAUCACUUGUCAUUAGGGUGACCAGACAGCACCUGUGAAAAAUCUGGACGGGGGUGGGGGGUAAUAGGAGCCUAUAUAAGAAAAAGACCCCAAAAUCGGGACUGUCCCUAUAAAAUUGGGAUAUCUGGUCACCCUAUUUGUCAUCAGCACCCAUUGCUGGUUCAUGGCUGCUGUGUGCCAUCUCAUUUAUUUCUGCUGAUACCACAGAUGUUAGAGAUGGAAAGGGCAAGGCCUGUUAGACAAUCAAGUCCGUCUCCCUUUGGCCACUGUAGGACUGUAUUUGAGAGUGUCUUGUCUAAGAUCUUUAGGGCAGGGGUCCUUUUUGUUCAGUGUUUUGUACAGCAACUAGCAAAAUGCGGUUCUGGUCCACGACUGAGGCUCCUUUCUGGUGCCACAGUACAAAUAAUUUUUAAAAGUCCCAUGUGAGGGGGUUUCCACCACAUCCCUUUGUAGACUAUUCCACAACCUAGUACACCUCAAUGUCAGAGUGAUAUUCAGCCUAACUUUCCCCUUUCUUAAUUUCAUAUAAUUCCUUUACCCACAGCUACUAAACUAAAGAAUUCCUCUCCCUUCCUAGUCAUCACUUAGCCUGGCUGGGAUGAUUUACUUGGUGUUGGUCCUGCUUUGAGCAGAGGGUUGGACUAGAUGACCUCCUGAGGUCUCUUCCAACCCUGAUAUUCUAUUAUUCUAAGUAGGACACAUUCCGUUCUUUUAUUCUUUGCUGAGAAGUCAGUCCUUCCAGUGCCAAGAUCCUUUUUAUUCAUCGUCCCUAAAUCCCCUCCAGUUAGUCAAUAUAUAAUAGUAUUUAUUAUUUGUAUUACAUUGUACCUAGGAUCCUUAGUCAUGGACUAACACCCGAUUGUGCUAGGCACUGUACAAAGAGAACAAAAAGGACAGUCCCUACCCCAAGGAGCUAAAAUUCUCUUUCUGGUAAUGUGGUGCCUAGAAGUGAAUGUAUUAUUUUAGGUGGGGUUGGUCCACAGCCCUUUAGAGGAGACAUUUUACUUCCCUGCUCUUGACUGUUGUUUUUUUCAUAAGCAGUCCACCUCAGCAUUGGCCUUUUCCUUGUGACCAAAUCACCACUGCAAAUUCAUAGCUAACUUGCUGUGUAGUACCAUUACUGUUUUUCAGGUUUCUCCCUUCCACUGAAUAUCUGUAUUUCAAAUCCUCCUCCCCCAAAAAGUUGAAACUAGACCAAUUGAGACUGGAAAUAAGGCAUACAUUUUUAACAGUGAGAGUAAUCAGCCAUUGAAACAAUUUACCAAGACUUGUGAUAGAUUCUCCAUCACUGACAAUGUUUAAAUCGAGAUUGGAUGUUUUUCAAAAAGAUCGGCCCUGGGAAUGAUUUGGGGGCAGUUCUAUGGCCCAUGCUAUACAGGAGUUCAGACUAGAUGAUCACAGUAGUCCCUUCUGGCCUUGGAAUGUAUGAAAACAUAUUAGUCUCCAUUUCUGCUGAAUUUAACUGCAUUGUUUGCUGAACUUCUGUCCAUUUCUUUAAUCCCCCUCUGUGUUAUUUCUGAGUGUUCUCCAUACUUCCUCACAGUUUAGAGUCAGCUGCAAAUUUCAUAAGUGUGCAGAGUUGGGCUUGCAGGAUGUUUUCUAAGGUUAGAGGGACAGGCUGGUACUACCUAUCUAGGUACUUAUAUGACCCAUGUCACUGUUUGAGCCCCUCACAAUCAUUAAUGGAUUUUAUCCUCAUAACACGCCUGUUAGGUAAGAUCCCCGAGAUACCCCAUUUUACCAAGGUCUCUCGAGUCGCAGUCCAACACCCUAUUCACUAGACCAGGGGUUGGCAACCUUUCAGAAGUGGCAUGCCAAGUCUUCAUUUAUUCACUCUGAUUUAAGGUUUCGCGUGCCAGUAAGACAUUUUAACAUUUUUAGAAGGUCUCUUUCCAUAAGUCUAUGAUAUAUAACUAAACUAUUGUUGUGUAUAAAGUAAAUAAGGUUUUUAAAAUGUUUAAGAAGCUUCAUUUAAAAUUAAAUUAAAAUGCAGAGCCCCCCGGACCGGUGGCCAGGACCCGAGCAGUGUGAGUGUCACAGAAAAUCAGCUCGCGUGCCGCCUUUGGCAUGCAUGCCAUAGGUUGCCAACCCCUGCACUAGACCUUACUUCCUACAUUGACUCUUAUCAUUCAAAUGUGCUGCAAUAUAUUUCAAGUAGAUAUGACAGUGAGGAGUAUGUGGGGGACAGAGAGUGAAAUUCAUUCUUGCUUCCUCUUCCAGCUGAGACAGCUGCAGCCUCAGAUGGUGAGGCCAAAGGAGGCUUUACUCCUUGAGUAAGUUCUUUGGAUGUGAUCGUGGAGACAUAUGCAGAAGUCAUUGUGCACUGUCCUGUGGCGCUAUCAGCUGAUGUUAUGAGCCUUGUUUCUCUGAUGCCCCAGUAAAAGUUUAUGUUUGAUUUA